UAGGGAAUCUUCGGCAAUGGACGGAAGUCUGACCGAGCAACUCCGCGUGAGUGAAGAAGGUUUUCGGAUCGUAAAGCUCUGUUGUUAGAGAAGAACGUUGGUAGGAGUGGAAAAUCUACCAAGUGACGGUAACUAACCAGAAAGGGACGGCUAACUACGUGCCAGCAGCCGGGGUAAUACGUAGGUCCCGAGCGUUGUCCGGAUUUAUUGGGCGUAAAGCGAGCGCAGGCGGUUCUUUAAGUCUGAAGUUAAAGGCAGUGGCUUAACCAUUGUAGGCUUUGGAAACUGGAGGACUUGAGUGCAGAAGGGGAGAGUGUAAUUCCAUGGGUGGCGGUGAAAUGCGUAGAUAUAGGGAGGAACACCGGUGGCGAAAGCGGCUCUCUGGUCUGUAACUGACGCGGAGGCUCGAAAGGGUGGGGAGCAAACAGG
rnacentral:rRNA from 1 species